AACGAACGCUGGCGGCAUGCCUAACACAUGCAAGUCGAACGAGACCUUCGGGUCUAGUGGCGCACGGGUGCGUAACGCGUGGGAACCUGCCCUUAGGUUCGGAAUAACUCCCCGAAAGGGGUGCUAACACCGGAUAAUGUCUUCGGACCAAAGAUUUAUCGCCUUUGGAUGGGCCCGCGUUGGAUUAGCUAGUUGGUAGGGUAAAAGCCUACCAAGGCGACGAUCCAUAGCUGGUCUGAGAGGAUGAUCAGCCACACUGGGACUGAGACACGGCCCAGACUCCUACGGGAGGCAGCAGUGGGGAAUAUUGGACAAUGGGCGAAAGCCUGAUCCAGCAAUGCCGGGUGAGUGAUGAAGGCCUUAGGGUUGUAAAGCUCUUUUACCCGGGAUGAUAAUGACAGUACCGGGAGAAUAAGCUCCGGCUAACUCCGUG
rnacentral:rRNA from 1 species